rnacentral:rRNA from 1 species
CCUACGGGAGGCAGCAGUGAGGAAUAUUGGUCAAUGGACGAGAGUCUGAACCAGCCAAGUAGCGUGAAGGAUGACUGCCCGAUGGGUUGUAAACUUCUUUUAUAUGGGAAUAAAACGUUCCACGUGUGGGAUUUUGUAUGUACCAUAUGAAUAAGGAUCGGCUAACUCCGUGCCAGCAGCCGCGGAAAUACGGAGGAUCCGAGCGUUAUCCGGAUUUAUUGGGUUUAAGGGGAGCGUAGGUGGAUUGUUAAGUCAGUUGUGAAAGUUUGCGGCGCAACCGUAAAAUUGCAGUUGAAACUGGCAGUCUUGAGUACAGUAGAGGUGGGCGGAAUUCGUGGUGUAGCGGUGAAAUGCUUAGAUAUCACGAAGAACUCCGAUUGCGAAGGCAGUUCACUGGACUGCAACUGACACUGAGGCUCGAAAGUGUGGGUAUCAAACAGGAUUAGAUACCCUAGUAGUC